rnacentral:rRNA from 1 species
GAUAAACGCUGGCGGCGCACAUAAGACAUGCAAGUCGAACGAACUUAAUACCUUGCUUGCAAGGUAAGCGGUUAGUGGCGGACUGGUGAGUAACACGUAAGAAAUCUGCCUAUCAGAGGGGAAUAACAGUGAGAAAUCAUUGCUAAUACCGCAUAUGCCAUAGGAAUCGCAUGAUUCUAGUGGGAAAGGAGUAAUCCGCUGAUAGAUGAGCUUGCGUCUGAUUAGCUAGUUGGUGGGGUAAAGGCCUACCAAGGCGACGAUCAGUAGCCGGACUGAGAGGUUGAACGGCCACAUUGGGACUGAGAUACGGCCCAGACUCCUACGGGAGGCAGCAGUCGGGAAUAUUGCGCAAUGGAGGAAACUCUGACGCAGUGACGCCGCGUAUAGGAAGAAGGUUUUCGGAUUGUAAACUAUUGUCCAUAGGGAAGAUAAAAGACUGUACCUAUGAAGAAAGCUCCGGCUAACUACGUGCCAGCAGCCGCGGUAAUACGUAGGGAGCAAGCGUUAUCCGGAAUUAUUGGGUGUAAAGGGUGCGUAGACGGGAUAACAAGUUGGUUGUGAAACCCCUCGGCUCAACUGAGGAACUGCAACCAAAACUAUUAUUCUUGAGUGCAGGAGAGGAAAGUGGAAUUCCUAGUGUAGCGGUGAAAUGCGUAGAUAUUAGGAAGAACACCGGUGGCGAAGGCGACUUUCUGGACUGUAACUGACGUUGAGGCACGAAAGUGUGGGGAGCAAACAGGAUUAGAUACCCUGGUAGUCCACACUGUAAACGAUGGAUACUAGGUGUAGGGGGUAUUAAGCCUUCUGUGCCGUCGCAAACGCAGUAAGUAUCCCACCUGGGGAGUACGACCGCAAGGUUGAAACUCAAAGGAAUUGACGGGGGCCCGCACAAGCAGUGGAGUAUGUGGUUUAAUUCGAAGCAACGCGAAGAACCUUACCAGGGCUUGACAUAUAAGUGAAUGACUAAGAGAUUAGUCAGUAUUUCGGUACACUUAUACAGGUGGUGCAUGGUUGUCGUCAGCUCGUGUCGUGAGAUGUUAGGUUAAGUCCUGCAACGAGCGCAACCCCUAUACUUAGUUGCCAGCACGUGAUGGUGGGAACUCUAGGUAGACUGCCGGUGACAAAUCGGAGGAAGGUGGGGACGACGUCAAAUCAUCAUGCCCUUUAUGUCCUGGGCUACACACGUACUACAAUGGCUAUAACAAAGAGAAGCGAGACGGAGACGUUAAGCGAAACCCAAAAAAGUAGUCUCAGUUCGGAUUGAAGGCUGAAAUUCGCCUUCAUGAAGCCGGAAUUGCUAGUAAUGGCAGGUCAGCAUACUGCCGUGAAUACGUUCCCGGGCCUUGUACACACCGCCCGUCACACCAUGAGAGUUGGGAAUACCCGAAGCCUGUGAGCUAACGUAAGAGGCAGCAGUCGAAGGUAGAAUCAAUGAUUGGGGUG